AUGGCUCACGGCGAUCAUCAAGACGAUGACGAUGAUUUCAUGGAGUUACCGCGGCAGAAUCGUGCAACUAGACGGACAACAGACGACGAUGAGGUAACUGUCCACCCCCCAGCCCCCUUCCCCCAUAUGGCUUCACAGGAACGCCUGACUAUAUUGACCGAGGGAUUCACCGACGACCAGAAGGGAGCUGCUGCUGAGUUGGGGAUGCAGGCUCUGAUGGAUGUUCGGUGCAAGAAUCUAGUGAACCCUGUAUGCGACUGGCUUGGUGAGAUUUACGAGCCCGCCUCCAGGAAAUUUGUUAUUCCGGGACGUGGAAGACUGCCGUUAGAUGAGGAAUUCGUGUUCUGCACGUUGGGUGUGCCCCGUGGAGAAAUCAAAGUCCCGUAUGAGGUCAAUAAUACGAUUGAGGAAACGUUGUUUGCCCGUUUGUUUCCUGGGAUGACAUCCAUGAACACAAAUUCGCUGGAGGGCAUGAAAACCCAUGGCAAAGUUUUUAAGAUGAAGCUACUCAUGUACCUGAUCUCAGCUGUUUUUGCGCCGACCACAUCUCUUCGCCCAAGCAACAAAUGCUUCCCCAUCCUGGUGAAUGCUCUAUCUCUACUCCUUCAUUUUUUCCUUCAAUCUUUUGACUCCUAUGUCAUAUCAACUUCUUGUCCUGAAAUUUGUGUCGUGCAGGCAAAACUGAAAGAAGUGAAGAACAUGAAUUGGUGUAAGUUCAUUGCGGACUUCCUGCAUGAUGCAUUCUCAAACAAGAUGUACCAGAAGGGUUGUCGACUCCAUUUAAUGGUAUUUUUGUACUACUUUUUUGCAAACACUCCUAGCUCCUUGAGCAUGCAUGGCAACCAUGAUGGUGACAUUGUGGCAACUACCAUCAUAACAAGAUGGCAACUGCCAACAUAA
rnacentral:rRNA from 1 species